UACAGAGGUCUCGAGCGUUGGGCGGAAUCACUGGGCUUAAAGCGUGUGUAGGUGGAUCGUUAAGUACCUUGUGAAAUCCCACGGCUUAACCGUGGAACUGCUUGGUAUACUGGCGGUCUUGAGCCACUUAGGGGCUACCGGAACAAAUGGUGGAGCGGUGAAAUGCGUAGAUAUCAUUUGGAACGCCAAUGGUGAAAACAGGUAGCUGGGAGUGUGCUGACACUGAGACACGAAAGCCAGGGGAGCAAACGGG
rnacentral:rRNA from 1 species